AUAUUUAGGUGUUUGGUCAUAUGGAAUUUUGAUUUCCAAGGUUUUAGUAUAAUACUAAAAAAUAUAA
rnacentral:tRNA from 1 species